rnacentral:rRNA from 1 species
UACGAAGGGGCUAGCGUUGCUCGGAAUCACUGGGCGUAAAGCGCACGUAGGCGGCUUGUUAAGUCAGGGGUGAAAUCCUGGAGCUCAACUCCAGAACUGCCUUUGAUACUGGCGAGCUUGAGUUCGGGAGAGGUGAGUGGAACUGCGAGUGUAGAGGUGAAAUUCGUAGAUAUUCGCAAGAACACCAGUGGCGAAGGCGGCUCACUGGCCCGAUACUGACGCUAGGUGCGAAAGCGUGG